CACAUUUCAACUGGUCAGAUCUUUCUGUUACAUUUAUCCUCUCAUGGUCUAAAGAUUUUGUUUCGGUAUGAUUUUUUUUUUCAGUCUUACUGCUAUGAAAACAAAAGAAUUCACGUGACUUGAGUGUUGAAGCCAGCCAUGGUUAAUAGAUUUUUCUAGAAUCAUUUAACACUUAAGGGAUACGAAGAUUUUCAAAUUUCAGUUAAUUUUCUGUAAUGACUAAAGGGUAUUGUGGCACCUCACAGGAUUCAUGCAAGUUAGGAUAUUUAAGAAAUUAAUUAAUUGAAACUGGAUUUGACAGCAGUGUAGAGAAUCUCAGAGCCAACCUAUUGCAAAAACCCUAACAAAUUUUUAGGCAUUUUUUGGGAAGAGCAGGGAGGGAGGUAGAGAACAGAGAGUAAAAAGAAUAACUUCAAAAUAACCUCGGUGUUGCUGAUACACAUUGUUUAGAUUUAGAAGAAUUUUAUUAUUAUUACUUUUUUAAUAGAAGUCAUCUUAAGGAGUGUUGAUUAACAAUCCUGUAGCUGAUUGACUACUAUACCCUUAAGAAUGCAACUAGGCCAUUUGAAAUUUUAUAUAUAUGGGUCAUGCAGCUUCAAUUAUCAAUGUCACUGGUGAUAAACAUCUAUAGAUUUUGUCUUUAAAAAACAGACUGGCUUUCCCGGCUGAGAAACAGUUCCUAAACUAGAUGUGGUAGUCUGUGAAGUUUAACAUGCAGCCAUGUACCACCACUGGAAAGGACAUCUUUCACAGUCCUGCUUCUUUGUAACAUCAUUGGCACUGAAAGGUAAUGACAAGUGCUGUGAAAUAGCCAUAUAAACAGCAAUAUUCUGCCUCAGCCAGUGCAUUCCAUAGACCUUACUGGUCCAUUCUGUUUUCAGCAGAAAUCCCUGCUGACUUUCAUGAGGAUUUAGCUUAAUAAAAAUGGCUGGAAUUAUAUGGUCCCUUGCCAAUAAUGAGUAUUCUUCAUUUUCAGAGUAUGUAGUAGAAAGAAAUAUAAAAAAUCAUUGUAGAUGUUAAUUGUAGGUUCCAAUUGUUUAUUAAUUGCAAUAAUCUCCUGCACAUACCCUUUUUAUUGAAUGUUAUUGUUCACUGUUAUCAAGGUUUCAAGGAAGCAAUUUUACAUAUAGGAUGAGACACUAUACAGGGUGUAUCACACUCUGCAGGUGUUAAAUUUACUGUGAGCAGCAGAGGCCACUUGAAUCUGAAAAAUUCCUUGAUUGAUUUUCAUGAAAAAUUUCCAUGGAGAAUAAGUUUUAUCUAAGCUGUGGUUGGGCUAUUCUUGAAGAAUUUCCGAUUUGUGGGCUGCAUACUAUGCAAGUUUACAACAGGGAGUUGCGGCAUGAAGCCAUACAGCAAUACUAUUUUGAGUAUAUGGAAACAAAUUCUUACCUUGACCUUGAAUAAUGUUCAAGUAGAUGGGAUAAAGAAGUUCCCUAUUUUUGUAGAUUUAAAGGUGUUGACAUUUUGGGAUCAGGAUCCAAAUAAUUACCCUUCUAAAAGAGGGGUUAGAAAUAACUUUUUAGUGAAGAAAUGUAUGUACAGUGAUGUAAACAUUUAUGAAUAAGAUUAUGAUAUCUUUCCACUUCAAAUAAAGAAAUGAGCUGGAAAUAGCUGGAAAAGUUAAGUUAUGAGUCUGUCUUUCAAUCUUCAAUAUUUCUGAACUAUAAGAACCACUCAUGACUAUUAGGAAGCUACAACUGAUGCUGCACUCAAGCCAUAAUUCAUCCAGGAGUUAACCACAUUAAUAGCUUGUAUAGUUCUGGGACUUACUCUUCACUAACUAACAGAAAAAUUAGAUCUACUAUCACAGGAUUACUGUCAGAAGAAGGAAAUUAAAUCUGAAGAAAAGCUAAAAGAAUGAACAUAAGAAACACAUCAAAAAAGAGAACCCCAGCUGACUGAAAUUGUUUUUUUCAUUAUGGGAAACUUCAUUCAUCCAUAUUUGUCUUUUACAAAGGAUUAUAAAUUGAGGACUACAAGUCCAUAAAAUUUAUAUUUUGUCAUCUGGUUUGACUGGUGGAAUUAUGUUAUUGAGAAGGAUUCUAAGAUCACAUUAGCCAGAAAAGAGUAAUGCACUACACCCACUGAAGAACAAUACAUGUUCUUAUCUACCAAGGCAGGCAAUCAAUUCUCUAGUGCAUAUAUCAAUACAGGCUAGAAGUCCACUAUUGGCAGAUGAUGUGGAUGAAGUCCUGAUACAGGCUUUACCAGCAAUGAUUACCACAGCUGAAUUCACUGUAGGUUAAACAAACAACAAACAAACAGAAAAACAAUCCAACAUAGAAAAUAAACCCACAACUGAUUAAUCCUUUAUCACUGUGAUUUCCAUAACAUGAUAAUGUGAGUUCCUUUAAAAUGUACAAGUGUGUAUAGUGCAUAACUCAAUUUUGAACUGUAAACUAACAAAAUAUUUUAUUUUAAAAUAGUGAAUACAGUGAAAUGUCUUUUAAAGUUAGGGAAGUGAAUUCAAGAAAAAUUCUAAAACUCAUCAGAACCAAAACAACAUCAAAAUUCAGGUAAGGCUCCUAAAUUACUUGUCACUUUCAUGAACUUCAGGACAAAAAAAAGAAAUCAAGAGAGAUGGAGAGAUGUUUUAGUUCUGCUUCUACAACACCAUAAAUAAAAAGGCAGGUACAUGAAUACUUUAAUAGGACUUCUAGUUAAGAGCCAACCUAGGAAAUAUCAGGUGUCUUAUCAGUCUAGAUAUGGGGACAUACCUCUGUUCUCCAAGGAGGGGAAAAAAGAAUCAUUAUGACAGGUGAUUUAACUGAAAUUUUGAGUAGAGGUUGAUAAAUUUGGUAAUAUCCAGGGUAAAGUCUGUUAUAUCUCCCUGGGAGACAGGCCCAAAAUCUCAACCUCCCUGCAGCCUGUGGUGAUCUACCCUGACUCCUCAAAGCAAAGAUCUUAAUCAAGGGCCCCAGUGAUGCACUGCUGACUUCUAGGUCUCCCUAUAAUUUGGCCACUGUAAGUCACUGAGUUUUCCAGGAGCAGCUUAGAUACUGGUACAGUAUAAACCACAAGACUGAAGUUACUUUGGACUAGCCCAACCUUUGUUUUGAACUUCACCUUCACCUUGAGCCACUUACUCUGUUUAUGCAUUUAUGAGCUUAUUGAAGGUUCCUCUUUGAUUUUAGGGUAUAAAUCAAGACCCAUAUAUACUCUCCUCACCUAGAGGCUAUUCAAGAACUUAUAUUCAGAACUGAUUCACUGGGUUGUAAAAGAUCUGACAUGCUUUGGGUUUAAUCACAGUUCUCAGUGUUGCAAACCAUAACUAUUAGCAUUUAGCUUCACAGCUUCAGCAAGCGUGAGCCUCAGAGUAGGAUCCAAACAGCUAGUCCAUUGAAUGGAGAACUAUCAGUCUUGCUAAGGAUGAAAUGAUACAGGUACAGGUACUUUCUUACCAUUUCAUAGUCAUCUCUCAACAGAAGAUCUUACUGCCUCUGAAGUUUGUUCUGGGCUGGAACAGCUUCUACCUUCUUCACAAGCUGUUGAGCUGCUCCAAACAACAAGAAGUAUCCAUUUGAGAUGUGAGGUAACAUUCAUAUUCUUUUAUAGAAUCAUAGAAUUGAGUUGGAAUAGACCUUUGAAGGUCAUUUGGUCCAACUCUCCUGCAAUAGGCAGGGAAAUCCACAGCUACAUCAGAUUGCUCAGAGCCUGAUCCAUCCUGACCUUGGAUGUCUCAAGGUCAGACUGUCUUCUGUCCUGGGAAGAAAGAUAAAGGGAGAAAGUCUUCACACCACCUUGUACUGUAUUCUCUAUUUUAUGUGUUAUUUAGUUCAAGUUAGACACUUCCAUACUGCAGUGACAAGGAAUAAAGAUGAUGUGAGUGCCCACCUAACUGGAGUUGUAUCGAUACUUUCCUGCUGUCAGAUUCAAGUAAAUGAGUUCCAUAAAAAGAACAUUUUCAUUGUCUCUCUUUUUUCCACUCUUUCUUUUUAUGUAGCUGUUGAAUCUGGACUAAGAUAACAAUAACAAUUAUAUGAGCAGACUGCUAAGAUUUCAAUUAUGCUGACAUUAAAUUCUUGGCUUUACAUAGCCUCUUGGUCUGUAGAAAUAUUUUCUUGUUGCAGGGGAAUUGCUAGGUCACAGCCUGAGCCAAUGGUCAAGCAUCAGGUGAGAAGGCGUGGCUAGCCCAGGAAGCUCAGGUGCAUGCAAUACAUCUGCAUAACUAGAAGGGAUGGAGCCUGGAUCCACCCCCUCCUCACCCUCAUUAGCAGCUAGUAGCCAAGGGAGUAGUAUCUUUCUGCAUAGCAAUUGCACUCCUCUUGAGCUGCCAAUGGUUACUGGAAGGGGUGAGUAACUUUUCCUUUUUUACCUGCUAUUGCUCUGUAGGGCUUGUAACCCAUUAGAAUGCACUGUCAUUGCCUUCUUUUGCCAUAUAAUUGCUAUAAGCAUAAUCAUAUGGUUCAGGCGAAACUUAAAUGUCUGGGAUCCAUAAAGGAGAACAGAUUCCUGGCACAUAGGAGAGCAUUGGUUUUGAAACUGGCACCUGUAACAUUGAGGAACCCUUAAGACUGAAGCAGCAAUAAAGCAUCCACUGCUUGGAGGCUGUGAGACUGGAUGUAGGUGCUGACAUUGAAUCCAGGACCAUUUUUGGCCUGGAGUGAAAAUGAGAGCAGAGCACCACGUGUCAUAUUUUCCUCCAGCCCUGAGUCUUACCCUUGUUGAUGAGAAGGUCAGGCAGGUUCAGCAACAGACAUUCCUUCAUAGGCAUGGUCAACCUGUCUAUAUGGGAAAAUGUCUGAAGUUAAUUUAGUCAAACCAAAGGAAACACACAUCUCAGAAUUUUCUCUGUUCAGCUUUAGCCUCUCUUUCCUUAAGAUUGGCUGGUAGCAAAAACAAAGCAGGGUAUGCAGCACAAGUGUUCAUCCAGUCUCAUUUAUCCAUGUAAUGAAACUGUAGGGUCAAUAAGUAUACAGAUUGAAGGCUAGAGAAAUUAUUGCGUUAAAAAGGAAUAAUCAGGGAUGAAUGGAAAGCUUACCCAUGUCCUGGGCUCACCAAAAAGAUUCCAAGAUGAGCAAUCUCCAGAGAGAGAUCCUUCCUCAGUGGAAGUCAGCCCUUAAAUGGGGUCUUUCAAAUGGGUCCUCGUAUAUUGCUUCUCUUAUGCCAAGUUCGCAAAUGUAAUUCUGAAGGUCCUCCAUGGUGGACCACAAUCCUGUGUUUAAUGGUGUAUCUGAUUUUUUUGGCCAUACCACAUGGCAUGCUACCAUUAGCCAAUCGAUUACAGAAUGAUUUUCAUUAGUAUAUUGGACACCUGCAUAUAUUCUUUGCCUAAGGGCAGGGUGCACCAUCAUGGUGGCCAAUUUAGAUAUUUCUAGCCCAUUGACCAUGACACUUUCUGCCCCUGAAUCCCAUAGUAUUACUAAUCAGGUUGGGACACUUUCGUUUGGCUUUUGCCAGAAUCGUUGUACUAUGUCCAUUAAUUCUGUUGGUGUGUAUGGCCUGGUUGUUACAUGUAAAUGUGUUUGGGCAUGGGGCCAUUGAUCGGGGGGUACCUCCUGCCUGUCUAUUUUGUACUUUCUUUGUUUUUUGAGUUAUGAUAGGAUGGAGUUCUAGGGAAUCUGUCAUAAGUAGAACCUCUAAAUCUGAUUUAGAAUUUUAAUUUCCUUGCUAACCCAGGUCCGUUGUUUCAAAAAUUGUUGCUUUCUGCAAGAAUGAUGUUAGCCACCUGUGUUAGGCCUCUGCACUCAUUGACCAAUAGCCUGAUCAGGGCCAAAUGACUGCAGAUGCACACCAAUAUGAUGAGCAGCAAAAUGGCGUUUAUUCACUACUAAACACAGCUUAUAUACAUUUUUACCUACAUAACUGUGCUGUCAUGUCCAACCCUGAUUGGUUCACACCAGAUAACAUUGUGCCUUAUUUGGCCAUUUCCACAUUCUUUUCUCAUCUUUCUUCUUCUCCUGUUUUCUCUGCAUCAAGGUCAGCACAAUAGCACUGUCUCUCUAUGCUUAGGGAGAGGCCUGUCCCGUACAUCCCGUGCCCCUGCAAGGCGCCUACUACAACAUCUCCCACUCCCUAAGCUAAAUACUACUUACACACACGCCUAACCCAUACAUCGCAAAGCAGCGCAAAACGCCUAAUCCUAAAUAUAUUUCGGCACACCAUUCCUACUACUUUUCUUCUACAAUUCUUAAGCAAACAUCAGAGCAACAGGGAAUCCUUUCCCGUGCUCGGCCAAGCCUGGUGCCUACUACAACAAAAAAUCUGUUCAUUAUCUAUUGAAAUAUUACGGAUCUGGCCUAUUGGAAGAUGCAAGGUUGUUUUUUUUCCCCUGUUAAUAUACUAAGUUCCUGUUCUAAUUUCUCAAUACAGUCUUUCACUAGCUGAUUUUCAUUUUCUAAAGUAUCAGCUCUUAUUUCAGUUUAGUUUAAGGCAUUCAGCAGUGGCCAUGCCACUGUAGAGGCAGCUAACUGCCACUCUUUUGUAAUUAAUAUAUCUUUAUCUAAACCUUGAAAAUAUUCCACCAUGCAGAAUGGGGAAAUAUUCCCCAUAACUCACAGAGGACCCCAUUUUUCAAUGAUUGGAAGAUCCCAGAAAUCCUGGAAUCUGCCCAGGAACCAUUUUAUCUAGGAGGGUAGUGUUCUCCCCCUGACCCGUUUAUAAGGGUAAGACAUUAUGGUUUUAGUAUAUAUAUUUGGCCUGCCUGGCUUACCAAGUGUAGGGUCAGUAAGCAUACAGAUUGAAGGCUAGAGAAAUUAUCGUGUUAGAAAGGAAUAAUUAGGGAUGAAUGGAAAGGUUAUGCAUGUCCUGGGCUCACCAAAGACUCCAAAAGGAGCAAUCUCCAGAGAGACAUCCUUCCUCAGUGGAAGUCAGCCCUUAAAUGGGGUCUAAGAGAAGUGGAGCCUGGCUCCACCCCUUCUGAUUACACAGGUGGAGUUGCCUUCACCUGUGCCCCCAUGGCUGACUCUGUGCUUGCCUCAGGUGGUCAGUCAGAGGUUCAGGCUGUGAUUCAACAGUUCCCAUACAGAAACUAUUUUCAAAAUAAUACUUCAGGUGAAAGCUAAGAGAUUCUCUUCUGCAGAAAGUUGCUGCUUUCUUCCAGAAGCAGCAUUUCAGCUGAGCUUCUUGCUUCACCUGGAAAUACUUGAAAGGAAAAAUUAUCCUUAUACAGUUUGGCUCUGACCCUGAAAAAUAUUAACGUGACAACCAUAACUUCCUGUAUGUGCAACAAUAGGGACUAACAACACCUGUGAUCUAGCUGUUUCCACACAAAGGUGUAACAGCCUGCCUGGCUCUGCAAAUUUGCAGAAUUACUGGCACGACUACCAGAGGGACAGGUCACCUACUGAAGUCUACUUUGCUAUUUCUAUGUAUGUGUUUUUUAGUCCUUCCAUAAGGUAUGUUUGUGUUUCUGCAGAGCAUAUGACUUUACUGCACUAGUAAAAGCAGAUGGAGGAAGGAGAGCUCUGUGUUCCCUUGUAGCUGUGUUUCCCAAAGCUCUGCAGCCUGCUGUUGAGAAAGCCAGCUUGGUUGCUGUUGCCUGUUUAUAAAACUCUCUGACUUGGCCCUCAUCUCUCCUAUCAUGACUGUAUCAAACGUCCCUUUGGUGGCCUGCUAUCUGCUGAGUGAUGCUCGCAUCCCACAGUUCCUGCCUAAGGCACUGACACCCACUGUCAUAACAGAAACAGUGGUCAGCCUGGUGAGUAAGUGGAGAUUUCUGAAUUUGGAGCAUCUCCAACACAGUGAAAUGCAAGGUGAGAACACAGACUGGAUUUUCAACAGAAAAUUUUCAUUAGGUGCAGAUUUGCUCAGCUGCUUUGUGAUUUACCACCAGCACAGCAUAUCCUCAGACCCUACCAUGCAGCAUCUUUAAACCUACAGCAAAACAGAAGAUUCUAUUAAAGGGAAAUACUAAGGUCAAUCACCAAAAAAACGUGUAAAUACCCGAAAGCUACAUGUUUGAGAUCAUUUCUUUAAAAACAAUAUACGAUUUUGUGGAGAAUGCGCAGUUAUGAAAGAUUACAGGUGAAGAACAACACAGUGGGUUAGCACAGUCCCUGCACCCCCCAACAACAGUAAUCCUUUUUAUUAUAGCCUCCUCCUCAUGCAUGAUUGUAAGUUUGACAGGAACUUUUCCUCCACAAACUUCCUAUGAAAGAUCUGCUUCCAGUGGCCAUGGACUUGUGUGAGU
ensembl:lncRNA